UUUAAAUUAAAUUUUUGUUUAGAUAUUUUUUGUAAAAUUUUAUUUUAAAUAAAAUUUAUUUUAAAAAAUAUUUAAAUUUUUGAAUAAAAUAUUAAUUUCAUAAGAAAUUAUAAAUUAAAAAUUUUUUUAUAAAAUUAAUAAAAUUUGUGCCAGCAAUUGCGGUUAUACAAAAAAUUAAAAAAAAUAUUAUUUAUAAAAUUAAUAUAAAAAUUAUUUAUUUAAAUAAAAAAAAAUUUUUUUUUUUUAGUAAAAUAUAUAAAAUUUUAGAUUAUUUUAUUUUUAUUUAAAUUGAAUUGUUUAAAAUUUUAAAAAUAAAUUAAGAUUAGAUACCUUAUUAUUUUAAAAGUAAAGAAGAAAUUUUUAAAAAGUAAAAUUUUAUUUAUUGAAACUUAAAAAAUAUGGCAGUUUAUUAAUAAUUUAGAGGAACUUAUUUAAUAAAUUGAUAAAACACGAUAAAAAUUUAUUUAAAUUUAUUUAAUUUGUAUAUCGCCAUAGGGCUAAGUUUUUAAAGAAAAUUAAAUUUUAAAUUUUUUUUAAAAAAAAAAAUAGGUCAAGAUACAGUGUAUAUUUAAAAUAAAAUGAGUUACAAUUAUUUAUUAUAUAUAUAUAUAUAUAUAUAUAUAUAUAAUUGAAAAAAAAAUUAAAAUUAUUUUAAUAAAGAGGAUUUAAAAGUAAUAUAAUUAAAAUUAAAUUAUAUGAUUAAAAAUUAAUAUGUGUACAAAUUGCCCGUCACUAGCAUUUAAAUAUGAAAGAAGUCGUAACAUAGUAAAAGUACUGGAAGGU
rnacentral:ncRNA from 1 species